GGGGAUGUAGCUCAGUGGUAGAGCGUCCGCUUUGCAUGCGGAAGGUCCCUUGUUCGAUCCCCCGCAUCUCCA
rnacentral:tRNA from 1 species